rnacentral:misc_RNA from 1 species
GAUGGGAAAUACUCGGUCUUUUCUUUGUGGUAGACAAAUAAAGUGCUCAUGGGGUAGCAAACCCACACCACCAGGAACAACAUCCAAUCCACUUCCACUACCUGCAGUUGGUUCCACUCCUGGCCUUUCAGCAACUGACCUUUUGGCUUAUGAGCGGCAACUAGCAAUAAGCAAGAUGGGUGGUGUCCAUGCAGCACUAAUGCACCCUCAGGGGCAUCAUCCUAUGAAACCGGCACCAAUGGGAAUGGGUGCAGCUGCAGCUAGUCAGGCUUUAUAUGAUGGUGGCUUCCAGAACAUUGCAGCACAGCAACUUAUGUACUACCAGUAGUAAAU